CCGAUGGCCUAGUGGUUAGAGCGUCCGCCUCAGAUGCGGGAGGUCGUGGGUUCGAACCCUGAUUGAUGGU